rnacentral:lncRNA from 1 species
UGUUCCUUGCAGCCAGGGUUGGAGCAAGGGGUGAGAGAGUGGCGCCCAGUGGGCUGCACGAAGCUGCCAGCCAGCGCGCAGAGCCUCUGGCAAUUAGCUCGGUUCCUACAGCUCCUUAAACAAUGUUGAUGGACCCUUGUCUUUCAUUAAGCUCCCUGAAAGCCAGUCUCUUGAUGGAUCCCAGGGGCAAAAUCCAGGAGGAAAGAAUUUAUUUUCAGACACAGUUUAACAGCAACCAACUUAAGCAGCACCUAAAAAAAAAUGAUAAUUAAAUAUUUCUCCAAGGAGCAAAUUAAGAUAAAUACCCCAAGGGUCCUUCACAAAGAUCUGUUUAGAAAGCGUCCAAUUAGGAUAACACACACCACAUUUCGAGGACCAAAGGGACUGCUCUGCCUUACCCCCCUUUUGGCGUCUGUUGGUACGCCCGGUUUCCAAGGGAAUGAAUUUCUUUACAUGGUCAGGAGCGGCGUGUUCUCUGGCGGGGAGCACCAGGAGCUGACUUCGUGGCACAGUAUCUUGUUCCUGCUCUGAUCACAAGAGUCAGAACUGAAGCUCAUUUAGACCAACGCAUGGCACCUGAUUGAGAGUCUGUUCCGGACUCUGGGCUGCUGGCCGUACCCAAGACGUCUGACCUUAAGGCCACCAGGGUCCAGUCAGCGGCCACCGUGGGCCUCGCAGCCAGGACGCUUAUCAAGCCCCUGAACCACGGCCCUCCUUCACGCUCUUUACCCAUAGCCACAUCCCACGACCACCCUGAAGAGCCUGCUCUGAGCCCGCGAACCAGAGGCCAGCAAGCGGACUGCAAGUGGGAUCAGGGUUCUCGCUCAGGUCCCGUCGCCUCUGACCUUAGAUUUUGCAAACCCUCCUCCUGCUCGUCUCCCGUCCCUCCCUUCGAGGGUGCAGCUCUUGCUCCCCAAGGCAGGGUCCCCGGCUUUGACCCCGAGCGCCCUCCCGGCAGGAAAUUGGCCUAUGCAGCAGUGAGACCCGCGCAGGCUCAGGCCUCUGCAGCGCCCACCUGCCGCCCACACCCGCAUCCUGAUUCACUUUUACACAACACACCUGCACAGCUUCACCCUUGUCCUUGCCCCCAUUUCACACCUGAGCAAACUGAGCUCAGCAGCAAAGGCUGCAGAAUUAUACACGUGGUGAGACUGCACUCACGCGGGACGGCAGGAGCAGGUGCUCCUCGGAGCUCCGUGGGGUUCACCCGGGGACCUGGGGCAGGGGGUCCCCGACGACAGGAGCAGGUGCUCCUCGGGGCUCCGUGGGGUUCACCCGGGGACCUGGGAGGCUCUGCCGGCUGAACCCACGCCUGCUCACGGCCCCUCCGUCCGCCUCCGCCACACAGGGCAGAGGGACCCCGUGCACGGGGGGGCCCCAGGCCGGCGACGAGGACCCCGACUCCCCUCUUCCCGCGGACAAGGACGACCCCACGGCCACAGGGGCAGCGACUCCCGCGGGGAGCACCUGAAGCAGCGGAGCCGUGGGCGGGAGAACAACGCGGGGGCCCCGGGAGGACCCCAAGGUGCGGGCGCGGAGACGGGCUUCUAACUCCCGCGGGGUCGGA